rfam:Branchiostoma floridae genomic scaffold BRAFLscaffold_111, whole genome shotgun sequence.
GUUUGCCUGUGUGUGGAUUGUGUUCAGCGCCAGGGACAGGUGUAUUCACUUGUGUGGAUGGUGUUCAGCACCAAGGACAAGUGUGUUUACCU